AUUGAACGCUGGCGGCAUGCUUUACACAUGCAAGUCGAACGGCAGCGCGGGCUUCGGCCUGGCGGCGAGUGGCGAACGGGCGAGUAAUACAUCGGAACGUGCCCAGUAGUGGGGGAUAGCUCGGCGAAAGCCGGAUUAAUACCGCAUACGACCUGAGGGUGAAAGCGGGGGAUCUUCGGACCUCGCGCUAUUGGAGCGGCCGAUGGCAGAUUAGCUAGUUGGUGGGGUAAAGGCCUACCAAGGCGACGAUCUGUAGCUGGUCUGAGAGGACGACCAGCCACACUGGGACUGAGACACGGCCCAGACUCCUACGGGAGGCAGCAGUGGGGAAUUUUGGACAGUGGGCGAAAGCCUGAUCCAGCAAUGCCGCGUGUGUGAUGAAGGCCUUCGGGUUGUAAAGCACUUUUGGCGGGAACGAAAAGGACUGUGCCAAUACCACGGUUCGAUGACGGUACCCGCAGAAGAAGCACCGGCUAACUACGUG
rnacentral:rRNA from 1 species